AGACCCAUGCCUCACCUUUCCAUCAGAUCCAAAGGUGGCGAAGGAAGUGAUUUCUGUUGUGAGAAUAGCACUUGCAUGUUCACGUAGUCACCCACAAUCUCGUCCAACUAUGCAUCAAGUAUUAGAAGAGCUACUUGUUAUCCGACCAUCAUCUAUGGAGCAUUUUCAUACAGUUUCUGUAGGUGACCUAAAUGAUAUUGACGUGCAAUAAUUGUGAUCGAAGAUUCAUUUGACCUACAGGGGAUUGAGGCGAUUCAUUUCAGACUACACUCAAAAUUAAACAAUAGUUCUCAAGGAUGUGUUUUUGGAAGGCAAGCAUUUUAUGGCUAUGAUGCCCAUGUAAAGAAGAAACCUCUUAGAAAGACAUAAAAUUGGUAGUUGUGUUGUGGUUCUUGGAAGAAGAACAAAGAUUGUGAAAAAAGAUAUAAGGGGACAAAAGGAAAUAUCUUCGACAUAAGCAUCCUACCCCUGACUUGGCAUGACUCACAUUGGCUCAUAUAAUCAAAUUAAUGUAGAAGUAGUUGAGUUGUGGCACCUGAACAGAGAACUCCUGCUGCAGAAGAGGAAUCUCGCAUGCCAACUUUCUUCUGGAUAAUCCCAAUUGGCUGUCGUUGCAGGGGUUUCUAAGUGUGAUUAGAUGUCUACUAUAGGAAGAGUGUGAGACCAAUUGAGAUUGAGGUUUGUUUUUCUGAUUUUGUCCA